AUUGACACUAGUUUCGUCCAAAUCUGAGAGUAUACGUUGGGAGACCUCCAUUGUCAGUGGAGCCGUGGCGUCACAUUCGUACCUCGACUACCUCGAGAUACCGGCCGACGUCCGAUUAUCAACCCCGCUUACAUCCGUGAACAAUCAAACCGAUCGGUCGAUGCCACCGUCUCCUUUGAAAUACUGCUCGUCGUGGACAACUUAAUUUACAACUAUUUCAGCGGCAACGUCGCACGAAUCACGGAAUAUUUCGCAAUUUUUGUGAGAGCGGCAAACACUCGAUUCUCCGCCAGCACCGAUCCCAGAAUUACUUUGAAAGUUAGCGGGAUGGUUUUGAUGACGUCCCUGGAAAGCCAGCCGUUCCUCGAGAACCAGAAAUUGCCCGAUGGAACUUAUAACUCUUAUGAUGUUUUACCGGAAUUUGGUCGAUAUGUCUCCUCCACACCCUCGCUACCCCCCAACCAUCUCGGAGCACUCAUUUCCAGCGUAAACUUCGACUCAGUUUUCGGGCUCGCUUAUAUGCGCGCGGCAUGUUUGACAAAUUACAAAGUCUCGCUGUCUCAUGACGACACGGGCGCCACUUUUUCAGGCGUGAGAACAUUCGCGCAUGAAAUUGGGCACAAUCUUGGCGCUCCGCACGAUGGUGACGUUGCCAGUGGCGCAGGCGCCUGCCCCUCCACCGAGAGCUACCUGAUGGCCAUAAAUUAAAUAUGCUAAUUAAAAGUAUGGAAGUUUUUCUGUCGAUUAAUACUAGAAGUUCAACAUAUUCGCGAGCGCCGAAGGCGCGAGCGGGUUUGGGGCGCAUUGAUGAUCUUGCACACCUUAAAAAUAUGCCUAGUUUAGGCCCUGUGUAUUUCUUAAGGGGCCGCUACACGGCCAAAAAAAAAACGUUAAGCUUGUGGUGACAACAUACUAUACCUUUCACAUACAUCUAUCGCGUGGUAGUAAAAUGAGAAAAAUAGAAAAUAAAUUGUCCAAGUUUAGCAUCAUUCCGUUAUAUUUCAUCCAAUCUAGUAUUGCGGAAAUGCCAGAUUUUUCAAUCGACUUUAUGUGGGAUAAGGGAACUAUGAGGCCAUAUUUGAUUGAAAUUAAUAGAUUUCCCUGGCUUUCAUAUGCAGACACCUGGCCGGCGGCUAGACGUCAUCUGGCCGAAAUGUUAACUGUGGUUGGUUUCAAAAUCCAAAACUUGUCAGGAGACACCUCGACGACUAAUGUGACAGAAUGUGUCAAGAUAAUUUCUGACAACGUGGAUCUCGAUGUGGGUGAUGGUGACUUAAUGUCACUCAUUGAAGGAGAAGACGAACUCAACCGAAUCAAGAACACCGGAUACUCGAGAAUAUGCCCGACAAGUGACGCGGCAAAGUAAGAAUGACGAAUACUACCUAGCAAACCAUUAGGGCAUGCAACAUCGAAUUUAGUUCGAUAUUUCGUUAUUUCGAUAUUUUAACAUUGGGAUUAAAUGGGAUAUCGAAUUUUCGAGAUCUCGAAAUAUGUCGAACUUGGAUUUUUCGAUAUUUCGAUAUUUUAACAAAGAGUUUAGGUUAGAAUACUCCAAUAUCGAUAUUUCGAUAUUACAUGUCCUACUUUUAAGCUGGCACAAGGAGCAAUUUUAGGAAACUCAAGAAAAACGUCUCCUCCAUGGAUCCACGUCUCACACAGGCAAACAUCCAGUGGCAGCCCGUGACUCUGGACUCCAAUACAUUGAGUCAAUCCCCUAGAGAAUCGCGGUGGUGGCUGCGUUAAUGUGCACGUGCACGCAGUAUGUCAUAUAAAUAAAUAAAACUAAUAAAUGUCAAAUUGGUUGCAAAUUAAUACUAUUUGACCUGAAUGGUGACCUGACACAUGGUCAUGAGGUCAAAAAAUUAAAUUUUCUUAUGGGAACUAAUUUUAAAAGAACUUUCGCCACGAAUUCAACGACGCCAAAAUUUUCGACUUUUGACCUCGUCGUCGGGGUCAUGGGGCAAAAAAAAAUUAAAUUUUCUUAUGGGAAGUAAUUUUAAAAGAAAUUUCGCCACGAAUUAAACGACGCCAAAAUUUUCGACUUUAGACCACGUCGUCGGGGUCAUGGGGCAAAAAAAAUUAAAUUUUCUUAUGGGAAGUAAUUUUAAAAGAACUUUCGCCACGAAUUAAACGACGCCAAAAUUUUCGACUUUAGACCUCGUCGUCGGGGUCAUGGGGCAAAAAAAAUUAAAUUUUCUUAUGGGAAGUAAUUUUAAAAGAAAUUUCGCCACGAAUUAAACGACGCCAAAAUUUUCGACUUUUGACCUCGUCGUCGGGGUCAUGGGGCAAAAAAAAUUAAAUUUUCUUAUGGGAAGUAAUUUUAAAAGAACUUUCGCCACGAAUUAAACGCCAAAAUUUUGGACCAUAGCGACGCGGUCAAAGGUCGGACUCGCUAUGUACACAGUAUUGCACAUAAGUAAAGAA